rnacentral:tRNA from 1 species
GCGAGGGUAGCCAAGCGGCCAACGGCGGCGGGCUUAAGACCCGCUCCUGUAGAGGUCCCUGGGUUCAAAUCCCAGCCCUCGCA